GGACAGUCUCCAGUAGCAGUUAGAAUUACCGUUCUGCUGGAUCAACCUCAAGAGAAACACCUGCUGCAUCAGUCUGAUUUUUAAUCAGGACCCUGCGAGGAAAGAUCCGAUGUGUUAUCAAAUCAAAGACUUCAUCUGCUGGACCAUGUGAUGCAGUUGAAAACUCCAGGAAAACCUAUAGUUGGAUGGCGACGAGACCAUCGGAGGAUCCUAAUGAGCAAAUUGAGUUAGGUAAAUCACCACCUGUACCCCACCAAACAAGAUGAUUU